CCUACGGGAGGCAGCAGUGAGGAAUAUUGGUCAAUGGACGAGAGUCUGAACCAGCCACGUCGCGUGAGGGAUGACUGAUCUCUGGGUUGUAAACUUCUUUUAUAUGGGAAUAAAACAGGGUAUGCAUACCCUCUUGUAUGUACCAUAUGAAUAAGGAUCGGCUAACUCCGUGCCAGCAGCCGCGGUAAUACGGAGGAUCCGAGCGUUAUCCGGAUUUAUUGGGGUUAAAGGGAGCGUAGGUGGAUUGUUAAGUCAGUUGUGAAAGUUUGCGGCUCAACCGUAAAAUUGCAUUUGAAACUGGCAGUCUUGAGUACAGUAGAGGUGGGCGGAAUUCGUGGUGUAGCGGUGAAAUGCUUAGAUAUCACGAAGAACUCCGAUUGCGAAGGCAGCUCACUGGACUGCAACUGACACUGAGGCUCGAAAGUGUGGGUAGCAAACAGGAUUAGAUACCCCAGUAGUC
rnacentral:rRNA from 1 species